ensembl:misc_RNA Metazoa_SRP Metazoan signal recognition particle RNA
GCCGGGCGUGGUGACUCACGCCUGUAAUCCAAGCACUUAGGAGGCCAAGGUGGGUGGAUCACCUGAGGUCGGGAGUUCAAGACCAGCCUGACCAACAUGGUGAAACCCCUUCUUUA